rnacentral:rRNA from 1 species
UAGAGCAGCCAUAUCACCCUGAAACUCACAACUGGCAGCCCACUGGAGCUCAGCAGGUGUGAGCCUGGUCAGUACCUGGAUGGGAGACCACCUGGGAAAAGCUUAAGGUUGCUGCUGGAA